AGAGUUUGAUCAUGGCUCAGGACGAACGCUGGCGGCGUGCCUAAUACAUGCAAGUCGAGCGGACGAAUCGAAAGCUUGCUUUUGAUUCGUUAGCGGCGGACGGGUGAGUAACACGUGGGCAACCUGCCCUGUAGACGGGGAUAACACCGAGAAAUCGGUGCUAAUACCGGAUAACACGGAAUGUCGCAUGACGUUUCGUUGAAAGACGGCGCAAGCUGUCGCUACAGGAUGGGCCCGCGGCGCAUUAGCUAGUUGGUGAGGUAACGGCUCACCAAGGCGACGAUGCGUAGCCGACCUGAGAGGGUGAUCGGCCACACUGGGACUGAGACACGGCCCAGACUCCUACGGGAGGCAGCAGUAGGGAAUCUUCCGCAAUAGACGAAAGUCUGACGGAGCAACGCCGCGUGAGCGAAGAAGGCCUUCGGGUCGUAAAGCUCUGUUGUUAGGGAAGAACAAGUAACGCAGUAACUGGCGUUACCGUGACGGUACCUAACGAGAAAGCCACGGCUAACUACGUGCCAGCAGCCGCGGUAAUACGUAGGUGGCAAGCGUUGUCCGGAAUUAUUGGGCGUAAAGCGCGCGCAGGCGGUUCCUUAAGUCUGAUGUGAAAGCCCACGGCUCAACCGUGGAGGGUCAUUGGAAUCUGGGGGACUUGAGUGCAGAAGAGGAGAGCGGAAUUCCACGUGUAGCGGUGAAAUGCGUAGAGAUGUGGAGGAACACCAGUGGCGAAGGCGGCUCUCUGGUCUGUAACUGACGCUGAGGCGCGAAAGCGUGGGGAGCAAACAGGAUUAGAUACCCUG
rnacentral:rRNA from 1 species